UCCUGUACUUGGUGUUACUGCGAAGGGGGGACGGAGAAGGCUAUGUCAGCCGGGCGACGGUUGUCCCGGUUUAAGCAUGUAGGCGGAGGUUCCAGGUAAAUCCGGUACCUUGUUAACGCUGAGGUGUGAUGACGAGGCACUACGGUGCUGAAGUGAUAAAUGCCCUGCUUCCAGGAAAAGCCUCUAAGCAUCAGGUAACACGAAAUCGUACCCCAAACCGACACAGGUGGUCAGGUAGAGAAUACCAAGGCGCUUGAGAGAACUCGGGUGAAGGAACUAGGCAAAAUGGUGCCGUAACUUCGGGAGAAGGCACGCUGAUAGGUAGGUGAAGUCCCUGCGGACGGAGCUGAAAUCAGUCGAAGAUACCAGCUGGCUGCAACUGUUUAUUAAAAACACAGCACUGUGCAAACACGAAAGUGGACGUAUACGGUG
rnacentral:rRNA from 1 species